UCUCACUACGUAAGAAAGGGGCUCCUGGGAAAUAUUGUUCCAGUUUAACCAACUGGAAAAUAAAACUUGCACCAGCACGUGCUGGGGAGCAACAAGAUGGAAGGAGCCCAGGAGCAACCGUGCAAGAGCCUGGACACUUGGGCCGUUGUCUGUAUCGCUGUGGUCAGGGCUGGGUUCCUGCCUGUCUGUGUUCACAUCCCCACAGGAAGGGGAAGGAAAGGAGGCAAAGGAUGAACAGUUUCCUCUGAAGCCGUCCCCCCAGGUGAGGAAACUGAGGCUUAGGAAGAAGGAUAAGCAUCUUCCCAAGUGCCCAGCUUGUAAUCAGCAGAGAUGGGGUUUGAACCCACGUCUGCCGGGCUGUAAGACCGCUGCUCUCUCUGGCCGUCUAAUGAGAGCUGCUACCUGCCCCCAGAGCUUCCAGUCAAGACAGGAACUGGGCAGGUAAGGGAAUGGCCAGCACUGCGUGUAAAGCACGUAAAACUGGAGAAAUGAUGGUUCCUUUUGCCUGCCUGCCGGCUGGAACACAUCAGGUGCUAAGCUGAGGAGCCACCACAACAUCCCAGGACCACU